CUGGCAGAGGCAGGCUGAAAACCAACAUCACCAUGCAGAGCUGGCAGAGGCAGGCUGAAAACCAACAUCACCAAGCAGGGCUGGUCUCUGACACGGGUUUGUGUUCCUUCUCCAGCUAAGAGAGAACUGAAUGACUCUACAAAGAGAGAAACAUCGUAAUGAAUAGCUUUCUGAACUACAAGACAGUGUGAAACGUUACGGUGGAGUCAGAGGUUGGUAGAGCAACGCCAGGGUUGUGGGUUCGAUUCCCAUGGGGGGCCAGUAUGAAAAAUGUAUGCACUCACUAACUGUAAGUCGCUCUGGAUAAGAGCGUCUGCUAAAUGACUAAAAUGUAAGUGAAGAAAUGUAAUUCUAGUGUCAGAGAAAAUACACAUUUCUCCAAAACAAACCGUAGCCUACACUGCCUAUAAUGAAAAGCAACAUGAAAAUAAAUGCUAAUGUAUUUGAGAUUGACUGUUUGGGUAAACAUUUUUUUUUUUUUUAUGGUUGAUUUUCCAGAGUAGAAAAAUGCAACACCAUCUCUCCAUUGAAGUCAACACAAAACAUCCAUCGCUCCAUGGAAGUCAAUACAAAAUAAAACCCUUUUUAAAAUCCGA